rnacentral:rRNA from 1 species
GGCCAGACUCCUACGGGAGGCAGCAGUGGGGAAUAUUGGGCAAUGGGCGAAAGCCUGACCCAGCAACGCCGCGUGAAGGAAGAAGGCUUUCGGGUUGUAAACUUCUUUUGACAGGGAAGAGCAGAAGACGGUACCUGUCGAAUAAGCCACGGCUAACUACGUGCCAGCAGCCGCGGUAAUACGUAGGUGGCAAGCGUUGUCCGGAUUUACUGGGUGUAAAGGGAGCGCAGGCGGCACGGCAAGCCUGAUGUGAAAGCCCGCGGCCCAACCGCGGGACUGCAUUGGGAACUACCGGGCUGGAGUGCCGGAGAGGUAGGCGGAAUUCCUAGUGUAGCGGUGAAAUGCGUAGAUAUUAGGAGGAACAUCAGUGGCGAAGGCGGCCUACUGGACGGUGACUGGCGCUGAGGCUCGAAAGCGUGGGGAGCAAACAGGAUUAGAUACCCCAGUAGAG